rnacentral:ncRNA from 1 species
UUUAACACGAAGAAAGAGCUCAUUUUAAAUGCUAGAUGAUUAGAGAGUCUGUGGUUGGUGAAAACAGAACAUAAGCUUUAAAAUUAAUCCACUCUGGAGUGAUGCUAAUAACAUCCGGGAUUGUUUCCGUUAUCAAACAGUAAAGCGCUAUGUAAUCAUAGAAUUAGGGUGGCACCACGGAAAAAUUAUUUCGUCCUUAGA